rnacentral:tRNA from 14 species
ACUUGCCCGAGUGGUUAAGGGGGUGGUUUCAAGCUCCACUGGACAUUUGUCCGCGCAGGUUCGAAUCCUGCAGUAUGC